AACGAACGCUGGCGGCAUGCCUAACACAUGCAAGUCGAACGAAGGCUUCGGCCUUAGUGGCGCACGGGUGAGUAACGCGUGGGAAACUGCCUAUUGGUGGGGAAUAACGACGGGAAACUGUCGCUAAUACCGCAUAAGCCCUUCGGGGGAAAGAUUUAUCGCCGAUAGAUGUGCCCGCGUCCGAUUAGCUAGUUGGUGAGGUAAUGGCUCACCAAGGCGACGAUCGGUAGCUGGUCUGAAAGGAUGAUCAGCCACACUGGGACUGAGACACGGACCAAACGCCUCCGGGAGGCAGCAGUGGGGAAUUUUGGACAAUGGGCGAAAGCCUGAUCCAGCAAUGCCGCGUGAGUGAUGAAGGCCUUAGGGUUGUAAAGCUCUUUCGGGUGGGACGAUGAUGACGGUACCACCAGAAGAAGCCCCGGCUAACUUCGUGCCAGCCGCCGCGGUAA
rnacentral:rRNA from 1 species